GAUGUUUAAGACAACAAUAGCGCUGGCUAGUGAGGAUAAAGAUACACUGCCUGGUCCUCUCCGGUCUAGACAUCACAUCAUUAGCCGAGUCAGCUAGGUAGCUGGUUAUUUUUUUUUGACAAAAUGUCAACCACGACCGGCGGCGGAGAGUUUGGCAACCCCCUACGAAAGUUCAAGCUGGUCUUUCUGGGCGAACAGAGUGUUGGGAAGACCUCCCUCAUCACCAGGUUUAUGUAUGACAGUUUCGACAACACUUACCAGGCAACAAUUGGCAUUGACUUUUUGUCAAAAACGAUGUACCUUGAAGAUCGCACGGUCCGGCUCCAGCUGUGGGACACUGCUGGACAGGAGCGUUUUCGUAGCCUAAUUCCCAGCUACAUCCGUGACUCUACCAUUGCUGUGGUUGUUUAUGACAUCACCAAUCUUAAUUCGUUCCAGCAAACCUCAAAGUGGAUUGAUGAUGUUAGAACAGAACGAGGAAGUGAUGUCAUUAUCAUGCUUGUUGGGAACAAAACAGACUUAGCGGAUAAAAGGCAAGUUUCUGUUGAGGCGGCAGAGAGGAAAGCUCGUGAGCUCAAUGUGAUGUACAUAGAGACCAGUGCCAAGGCUGGCUAUAACGUCAAACAGACAGAUCACCACGGAGGAGGGCGAGCAGAGAGCUAAGGAACUCAAUGUCAUGUUCAUUGAAACCAGCGCAAAGACUGGCUACAAUGUCAAACAGCUGUUCCGACGUGUUGCUGCUGCAUUGCCUGGGAUGGACAGCACACCAGAGAAAAGCAAAGAGGACAUGAUCGACAUCAAACUGGAGAAACAGCCAGAGAUGACUGUAACCGAGAGCAGCUGCUCAUGCUAGUACAUCUCACCCCCACCCAGCCUGUCUCCACCCCACCAACAGCUUGUCUCUCAGUGGCCACUCUCUCCACCCUUGGCUCGCAGCUACUGGGAUGGAGGACCUGUCUCUCUUUUUAUUUUAUUUUUCUUUUCCUUUUCGACUCAGUGACUUUUCAGAGUAACCGUGUGGAUGUGCAUUACUGUUUUGAAACAGAUUAUCUGGGGAGGGGGGGAAGGUUCAAAUAGUAAACGUUUAAAACAAGGAAUAAGUUAAAUGAUAUGUUCAGAUUUCAUCCAGUUGCAUGGCAUUAUAUAGGAUUGCAGACUGACAUAGCUAACCGCUCUUGAGUUAUUGCACAGUUCAGAAUCUUAGUGCUGUUACUCUCGUCGUUGUAAAGUGAAACUGCUUGGGAUUAUUUAAAUGACUCUGCGAGGCCGAGCUCUCUGCCUGUUGUAUUUUAUUUUUUAUUUUUGAAUUUUGAGUGGAGAGUUUGCCUGUUUCAAUCGACCUGAUUCUUGACUUUUUCUUAUUUUGAGGAAGUAGAGACAGGACCAGUGAAUUUACGCCAUUGCUAACCAACAUAUUACACCAUUAGACUCAAAUUAACCCUUUGGGACCGUUUACUUAUAGCACAUCUCCUGGCUUAAAAUCCAAUACAGCAGUGUGUUGGAAGACCAAAUUACCUUUUCAGAUUUCAAUACAGUACCUGCAAAGAGUUGUGUAACGAGGAAGUAGAUCUCCUUUAUUGCGAAAGCGAAGCCACCCCAGGUUCAUUCGAAACCUAUACUAACCUGUAAAUGCAGUAAGUCUGCAUUAAAGCUAUAGCAAUUAUCUUUCCACUGUCGUUAAAUUAGCUGCACGCAUACUAACACAUCUGAGGAGGAGGUUUUCAGUUACUAGAAGGGCCUAAUGAGGGGAGAGGGAAAAAAAAAAAGAAAAGUUUUCCACGUUGAUGGAGAGUUGUCACUCUGGUUGCUACGACGUGCCCCCAUCUCAUCGAUAAUUUGUGUUGUGUUGAUUACACUAUUGCGAGAACAUGCAGCAUGCCCACCCUGCAGGAUUUAUAUGGAUAAGAACACAGAUGCCUUGCUUGUUUGUUCACCAACGUUGUGCACUGAAUCAAGCCACAAUAUUGUAAAAUAUCAAAGAAGCCUGCUGACUGGUUCAUGGCUUCAAUAGUCGUUUUGUAGAGCUGGUAGGUAGAUGUCCUCAGAUACGGCUAAUGCUUACUAACACCCCUUGCUGUAAAAAAUAAAGUGCAGAGAAGUUAGUUGCAGUAUCCGUGCUGUAUUGCUAUUGCCUGUGUAGGACUGUCGGUUUUAUGCUUUUAUUUAUUUUGUUACUCAGACAUACUGAUAACAUUGUUUCGCUCGACCAAAAGUGCAGACGCUGACACGCAUGUUAAACAGUUUACUUUAUUUAUUGUUUGCGUGUCUGCCGAGGCGCCACCUGAAGGUGACACUUAGGCCUGGUGAUGUUUUUUUUUUCCUGUAUAGUCAGUAGCGUGGUUCAUAAGGUCACAGGUAAAAAAAAGGCUGCACCGUCUCCAGACACACGCGCAGUGUAACACAAACCAACUAACUAGCCAUAGCACAACAAAAGACACUGGUCAUUUGCUGAAGCUCGUUUUAAAGAAAAAAAAAAAGUUUUAAAACGCGGAUUCGAAGGUUUAAGCAUUUCCUCACAUCACAAACGACCAUUUUAACAUGAGCAGCUCUUCUAUUGCGUGUCACCGACUAAAUACUCAGCUUUGUGCUAUUCUGAAUCGUGUCUGUCCAUUUGAAAUAUGAUGUCUACUCGUGUUUAGCAACGUUUGUGUGAAUAAUGUACUAUUACUAUCUUAUGUAUAAAAAGGAGAGUUAAUGAAACACAAGUGUAGGCCUAUCACAUGGAAUAAAAAUAAAGAUAUUUCACCAAAAUGAUAAA